rnacentral:rRNA from 1 species
AGUGAACGCUGGCGGUAGGCCUAACACACGCAAGUCGAACGGCAGCACAGGAGGGCUUGCUCUCUGGGUGGCGAGUGGCGGACGGGUGAGGAAUACAUCGGAAUCUACUCUGUCGUGGGGGAUAACGUAGGGAAACUUACGCUAAUACCGCAUACGACCUACGGGUGAAAGCAGGGGAUCUUCGGACCUUGCGCGAUUGAAUGAGCCGAUGUCGGAUUAGCUAGUUGGCGGGGUAAAGGCCCACCAAGGCGACGAUCCGUAGCUGGUCUGAGAGGAUGAUCAGCCACACUGGAACUGAGACACGGGCCAGACUCCUACGGGAGGCAGCAGUGGGGAAUAUUGGACAAUGGGCGCAAGCCUGAUCCAGCCAUACCGCGUGGGUGAAGAAGGCCUUCGGGUUGUAAAGCCCUUUUGUUGGGAAAGAAAUCCAGCUGGCUAAUACCCGGUUGGGAUGACGGUACCCAAAGAAUAAGCACUGGCUAACUUCGUGCCAGCAGCCGCCGUAA